rnacentral:tRNA from 1 species
GGGAAGGUGGCCUAGUGGUAGAGGUGCUUGCCUAGUAUGCAUGAAGCCCAGGGUUCAAUUCCCCAGUACCA